UGCCCUUGACAUUGAUAGAAUCCCGUAGAGAUAUGGGAGUGCCUUCGGGCCUUGAAAAC
rnacentral:rRNA from 1 species